UAGCUCAGUUGGUAGAGCAUGGUGUUUGCAACGCCAGGGUUGUGGGUUUGAUACCCAC
rnacentral:tRNA from 1 species